AGAAAUAACUUUUCGGAUCAAUGCCAUUGUUAUAACAAAAAGUGAACCAGCAAAAUAGGUCACAUAAUUACCCAACAAUUACUUCCCAUUUGUCCAUGUUUUUCAUAAAGUACAAGUCAAAAGUUGAACAAAGUCUGCUGAGAUCAAUCCUAGUUAAAAGACACUAAUUGUUCCCAAAAACCAAAAAGUGAAUGACACAAAAGGACAUGAAGCUCUGAUUAUGCAGCAGUAGCUUUCUUUGUAGCAGAAUCAUUCAAGCUUUCUUUGCAGC
rnacentral:lncRNA from 1 species